rnacentral:lncRNA from 1 species
AAUGUUAUGUAAUAAUGUUUAGGGAAGUUUAGAGUUGUGCUUGACCAUAGUAUAUGUUAAUCCCUUUUUAGUACAUGAUCUCAAAUGUUUAAUGAUGAUUAUGGAAAACCAAACUUAAUGUAUGUAUGUUACCCCAUUGGAGCAUUGUUGAGGACUCCAGUGUGGGUUGAUGAUUAUGAUUAUGUAUAGUGCAUGCACAGGU